rnacentral:lncRNA from 1 species
AGCCUCAACUUGGGAUGCCCCCAUGCCAUAUUUGGGUGCUAAUCCAAAUCUCUACUACUAUGCUUCAGAUCCGGUGCUAGCUGGUGUGCCUGAGAAGCAGUGGAGGAUAUCUCAAGUAUUUGAAUCCCUGCCACUCAUAUGAGAGAGCAGAAUGGAGUUUCUGGCUCCUGGCUUCAGCCUGACAAAGCCCCAGCUGUUGCAGUCAUUUGAGAAGUGCACCUGCAGAUAAAAGAUUCUUCUCUCUCUGUUUCUUUCUCUGUCUCUCUGUGUGUGUGUCAGUCUAUGUUUGAAAUAAAUAAAUCUUAAGCGCAUCAGGCUCACCUCAAUAAUGAAUAUAUGCAGGGAGUGGCAAGUGUACAAGAUGUGUCCAGCCUUCUGAUCAACUUACUAAUCAGCACCCCUUUCAAGUUUCAUGGCAAGUCUCUCACACACUCAGAAAUAUGUUCCAUAUCAUCCUAGCCGCACUGCUCAACUAAAAUCAAGCCUUCACUGAACUGCUCAGGUUGCCAGACCUCAUUUAUUUCAAAACAUGCACAGUGCUAUCUGCCCAGCUGCCCCUAUAUCAUCAUUUACUACUCUAAGACUGGUUUUUCACAUUUUCUGUGAGUCAUGUCAACACAGAUGUUGUUAACACAUCAACACAGACAAUGAGUCCACAUCCUGCAGUUGCUGCAGCUGUAGCUACUCCUGUUCUCCAUAUAAUUCCACAGGACAAAUAUACUGCAGGAGUUUUCAGUUCUCAACAGCAUCUAAAUGCAAGCAUCUAAAUGCAAGCCACAAGUUACCAUGAAAUAGCCUACUGUCCACGUAUAAGGUCAGGAAUCUUCAGCUGUUUCCAUGUUGGCAUUAGCUGCUCCUCAGAAGCAAAGCAAAUGUUCGAGUUUCAUUGUGGCAUAGUGGGUAAAUCAGAUGCUUGUUUAAGGUGCUGGUUUAAGUCCUGGCUGCUCAACUUCCAAUCCAGCUUCCUGCUAAUGUGCCUAGGAAAGCAGCUGAGUAUGGUCCAAGUACUUGGGCACCUGCACCUAUGUAGGACAUCCAGAGAAACUUCCGAGCUCCUGGCUUCAGACAAGCCCAGCUUUGAGGACUAAGCCAUUUGAGGACUAACAAGAUCGAUCUCUCUUUCUGUCUGUAACUCUUUCAAAUUAGUAAAUAAAUAUUUUUAAAUAAAGUUUGAUAAUUAUUCA